rnacentral:rRNA from 1 species
AUUGAACGCUGCGGCGUGCUUUACACAUGCAAGUCGAGCGGCAGCAGGACCUUCGGGUUGGUGGCGAGCGGCGAACGGGUGAGUAAUACAUCGGAACGUACCUUUUAGUUGGGGAUAACGCAUCGAAAGAUGUGCUAAUACCGAAUAAUCUCUGAGGAGGAAAGGCGGGGAUCUCGCAAGGGACCUGUCGCUGAAAGAGCGGCCGAUGGCCGAUUAGCUAGUUGGCGGGGUAAAAGCCCACCAAGGCGAUGAUCGGUAGCUGUUCUGAGAGGAAGAUCAGCCACACUGGGACUGAGACACGGCCCAGACUCCUACGGGAGGCAGCAGUGGGGAAUUUUGGACAAUGGGGGGAACCCUGAUCCAGCAACGUGACCACGAUGAAGAAGGCCUUAGGGUUGUAAAGUUCUUUUGUCAGGGAAGAAAAGGUUUGUGCUAAUAUCAUAAGCUGCUGACGGUACCUGAAGAAUAAGCA